AACGGUCUAUACCUGCGGUACCUGCGGAAGGAUCAUUACAGAGUUGCAAAACUCCCAAACCAUUGUGAACGUUACCUUCUCGUUGCUUCGGCGGGCGGCCCGGGUCCUUCCCGGCGCCCCCCGGCCCCUCGCGGGCGCCCGCCGGAGGUAAACCAAACUCUUGAAUUGUAUGGCCUCUCUGAGUCUUCUGUACUGAAUAAGUCAAAACUUUUAACAACGGAUCUCUAGAUCGGAAGAGCA
rnacentral:misc_RNA from 1 species